rnacentral:lncRNA from 1 species
UGGCAAGCCAUGACCCACUUUCCUGUUCCUAAUUCAAAGUGGUCUUACCCAUAAGAUGAUUGAGAUUAUUUAUAAGAUAAAUGUUUUUUUUUCGUGUUUCUUGUGUUUUCAGAUAACACAGAGUUCCCUCUUAUCUCACCUAAUCAUGACUAGAGUAACCCGAACAACACAAGUUGCCAACCAAUCCACGAAUGAUGAUUUGCCCAAUCCCAGAUGUAAAGGUCAACCUGGUGAUAUAGCAAACUGAUACUUCCGAUGUCACGUUAUAUAUUAGUAUAACGACUCAUCAGUCUUGGAACAAUUGUAACAUAAUUGUCAUUUAGAUGAUUUUCCUUUUUAUUUUGCUCAUAAAUAAAAAUGUCUUUGGAUUAAAAAAAAUAUUCCUAAAAUAGAAAGCGUUACCGAGAAAUGCAUGGAUUCAUAAAAACAAUAGUGAAACAUUCAACUUAUCCAAUACUAAAAUAUCGUUAAUGCCUAGUAGAAACUCAUCCUCGUUCAUGCUCUUCUCCGAGAGCCGUCAAAAAUAACAUUUCAAAAUAAGGCACAAUUGUCCUCAUCAUCCCCAUCAAACCUGUUUUCAAUUAUAUUUCAAUCUAAAAUUAUAUUUGAUAGUCAUGGUCUUGCUUUUGGUACAAUUCAUAUAACAAACAGCUAAUGUAAAUUUUAAACCUUUUAUCUAUUUCUUUGGAGUCUUUAAAUAAAAAGUAAAAGGAGUUUAAAACAAAGAAAACAAAGGAUUGAGAUUCAUUCAUAAAAUUCUAAUAAUCAAGAGGAGCUAUAAUAGGUGAUUCCAUUUCAUUUCACGGUUAAUAAAAUUAAAGUUUGUUUCAGGAUCUCUAGAACGAAGUAGGAGAACCACCUUACAUGGUCCAGAGCUCUAAUCUCCAAAAUAUAAGUUGAAUUUCUUAGCAAUGCCUUAUAUUUUGUCAAUUAUUGAUUUAGUGAUAGUUUGUCUGAUAUUUCUUUGUUGAGACCGUGAAUUUUCUAUUUUGUGAGAACUACAACUGUUUUAAGUAAAGCAUACAAGUAAAAAAUAACAAGAGAAACAAAAUUCAAAGGCGUAAAAGAUGAAAAAACAGUUAAGGUGGUUUUGACGCAAUGAAAGGACAUUGGACGCAUCAGUUAGAAGAGUAGAUCACAUGAUUUUCAGCCUUGCCAAAAAGGGUGGAGAAAGACCAAGAAAGAAGCUGAAUAAAAUAUUGAAAGGAAUCUCAUGGUGAACAGUUUUAACCAAAUCCAAUGCUAUGGUGGCAUUAUGUGAUUUAUGUAGUCAACCCCUAAGUAGAUAAAAUUGAUGCUGUGGUUAUUCAUAUUUUAAAUUUUGAAUACAAGGCUCUUCUUCAUCUUAAGCAAUAAGCAUUAAAUCAAAAUAGGAGAGGAGGGGGUUCUCCAGAGGAAAAACUAGAGGAGGUGGAGGAUUCAAGGUUUGAAACGGAUGUUUCAGAGCAAAGUGAGAAAAAAAUCUAGUGUCUCUAGAAGAUACUAAAGAAGAUGGGUAAUUAUGAAUCAAGCAAAGUGAGUCUUGCUUGCACAGUAGACAGAGCGUGGGAAACAACAUCAAAUUAGGGAUUUUUUUAAAUGCUGAAUAGAGGAGGGAAAUCUCAACUUCUCACCUGAAAAACUUAAAAAAUAAUGCUGUUUUUGUUUUUAGAAAAAAGGGGGUUUGCAAAAGGUCUUGGCCUAACACUGCUAAGGCCGCUAUGUUGGCCAUGACCACAACUCAUAUAUCCGUUAUUCAAAACUUUGUAGCAGCUUAUGGCCUCUCUAGGCCACUAUAAGACCCUAUUAUGGAUAACUAUAGUUCCUUAAUCACUCUCCAUAUUGGACAAACCUCACGGAAGUUCUUUUUUGAAGUUUAAGACAUAUAUAUUCAAUGGUAAUAUCCUUGAUUU